GGGUGAAAUCCGAGAAACAA
rnacentral:snRNA from 1 species